GGGUUUAAAACCCUAAUACUGACUAAAGGAAAAGUUCAGUUUAGGGUUUAAAUCCCUAAUGCUGACUAAAGGAAAAGUUCAAUUUAGGGUUUAAAACCUUAAUACUGACUGAAUGGAAAAGAGUUCAGUUUAGGGUUUAAAACCCUAAUGCUGACUGAAGGAAAGAGUUCAGUUUAGGGUUUAAAACCCUAUUACCGACUGGCUGGAAAGAGUUCAAUUCAGGAUUUUAAAACCCUAAUACUGAUUGAAUGAAAAAACUCAGUUCAGGGUU
rnacentral:lncRNA from 1 species